UACGGGGGGAGCAAGCGUUGUUCGGAUUUAUUGGGCGUAAAGGGCGCGUAGGCGGCCUGGCAAGGGGAUGGUGAAAUCCCUCGGCUUAACCGAGGAACUGCCAUCCAGACUGCUUGGCUUGAGACCGGGAGAGGUGAGUGGAAUUCCUGGUGUAGCGGUGAAAUGCGCAGAUAUCAGGAAGAACACCCGUGGCGAAGGCGGCUCUCUGGAACGCAACUGACGCUGAGACGCGAAAGCGUGGGGAGCAAACAGG
rnacentral:rRNA from 1 species